rnacentral:rRNA from 1 species
GUAAGGAAUAUUGCUCAAUGGGCGAAAGCCUGAAGCAGCAACGCCGCGUGCGCGAUGAAGGCCUUCGGGUCGUAAAGCGCUUUUCGGGGAGAUGAGGAAGGACAGUAUCCCCGGAAUAAGGUACGGCUAACUACGUGCCAGCAGCCGCGGUAAAACGUAGGUACCAAGCGUUAUCCGGAUUCACUGGGCGUAAAGCGCGUGCAGGUGGUUAGGUAAGUCGGGCAUGAAAACUCUUGGCUUAACUGAGAGAAGCUGUCCGAUACUGUCUGACUUGAGGGCAUAAGAGGGAGGUGGAAUUCCGCGUGUAGUGGUGAAAUGCGUAGAUAUGCGGAGGAACACCAGUGGCGAAGGCGGCCUCCUGGUAUGCUCCUGACACUCAGACGCGAAAGCUAGGGGAGCGAACGGGAUUAGAAACCCUAGUAGUCC